rnacentral:rRNA from 1 species
GGCUCAGGAUGAACGCUAGCUACAGGCUUAACACAUGCAAGUCGAGGGGCAGCAUAACGAAAGCUUGCUUUGUGAUGGCGACCGGCGCACGGGUGAGUAACGCGUAUCCAACCUUCCCUAUAGUAGAGAAUAGCCCGGCGAAAGUCGGAUUAAUGCUCUAUGUUCUUCUUUGAUGGCAUCUGAGGAGAAGCAAAGGUUCACCGCUAUAGGAUGGGGAUGCGUCUGAUUAGGUAGUCGGCGGGGUAACGGCCCACCGAGCCGACGAUCAUAGGGGUUCUGAGAGGAAGGUCCCCCACAUUGGUACUGAGACACGGACCAAACUCCUACGGGAGGCAGCAGUGAGGAAUAUUGGUCAAUGGGCGAGAGCCUGAACCAGCCAAGUAAGCGUGCAGGAGGACUGCCCUAUGGGUUGUAAACUGCUUUUAUAGGGGAAUAAAGUGAGGUACGUGUACCUUUUUGUAUGUACCCUAUGAAUAAGGACCGGCUAAUUCCGUGCCAGCAGCGGC